rnacentral:rRNA from 1 species
GUGCCAGCAGCCGCGGUAAUACGUAGGUGGCAAGCGUUAUCCGGAAUUAUUGGGCGUAAAGCGCGCGUAGGCGGUUUUUUAAGUCUGAUGUGAAAGCCCACGGCUCAACCGUGGAGGGUCAUUGGAAACUGGAAAACUUGAGUGCAGAAGAGGAAAGUGGAAUUCCAUGUGUAGCGGUGAAAUGCGCAGAGAUAUGGAGGAACACCAGUGGCGAAGGCGACUUUCUGGUCUGUAACUGACGCUGAUGUGCGAAAGCGUGGGGAUCAAGCAGGAUUAGAUA